rnacentral:rRNA from 1 species
ACUCAAAGGAAUUGACGGGGACCCGCACAAGCAGCGGAGCAUGUGGUUUAAUUCGACGCAACGCGAAGAACCUUACCUGGGCUUGACAUGUUCCUGAUCGCCGUGGAAACACGGUUUCCCUUCGGGGCAGGAUCACAGGUGGUGCAUGGCUGUCGUCAGCUCGUGUCGUGAGAUGUUGGGUUAAGUCCCGCAACGAGCGCAACCCCCGCCGCAUGUUGCCAGCAUUCAGUUGGGGACUCAUGCGAGACUGCCGGUGACAAACCGGAGGAAGGUGGGGAUGAGGUCAAGUCAUCAUGCCCCUUAUGUCCAGGGCUACACACGUGCUACAUUGGCGCGAACAGAGGGCUGCGAUACCGCGAGGUGGAGCGAAUCCCAAAAAACGCGUCUCGGUUCGGAUUGCAGGCUGAAACCCGCCUGCAUGAAGGUGGAGUUGCUAGUAAUCGCGGAUCAGCAUUGCCGCGGUGAAUACGUUCCCGGGUCUUGCACACACCGCCCGU